CGGAGCCCGCAAGGGUGACGACGUACCUUUUGUAUAAUGGGUCUGCGACUUAGUCUGGCGAGCAAGCUUAAGGCGAUAGCUGUAGGCGAAGCGAAAGCGAGUCUGAACAGGGCGUUCAGUUCGUCGGACUAGACCCGAAACCAGUCGAUCUAUCCAUGGCCAGGUUGAAAGCAGGGUAACACCUGCUGGAGGACCGAACCGGUGCCUGUUGAAAAAGUCUCGGAUGAGCUGUGGAUAGGGGUGAAAGGCCAAUCAAGGCUGGAAAUAGCUGGUUCUCCGCGAAAUCUAUUUAGGUAGAGCCUCGAGUGAAUACCCCAGGGGGUAGAGCACUGGAUGGGCUAGGGGCCCCCACAGGGUUACCAAACCUAACCAAACUCCCGAAUACCUGGGAGUACUGCUCGGGAGACACACGGCGGGUGCUAACGUCCGUC
rnacentral:rRNA from 1 species